AUUGAACGCUGGCGGAAUGCUUUACACAUGCAAGUCGAACUGCAGCACGGGGGCAACCCUGGUGGCGAGUGGCGAACGGGUGAGUAACACAUCGGAACGUGCCCAGUCGUGGGGGAUAACGUAGCGAAAGCUACGCUAAUACCGCAUACGAACUCUGGUUGAAAGCGGGGGACUCGCAAGGGCCUCGCGCGAUUGGAGCGGCCGAUGGCAGAUUAGGUAGUUGGUGGGGAAAGGCCUACCAAGCCGACGAUCUGUAGCUGGUCUGAGAGGACGACCAGCCACACUGGGACUGAGACACGGCCCAGACUCCUACGGGAGGCAGCAGUGGGGAAUUUUGGACAAUGGGCGCAAGCCUGAUCCAGCCAUUCCGCGUGCAGGAUGAAGG
rnacentral:rRNA from 1 species